rnacentral:rRNA from 1 species
GAUGAACGCUAGCGGCAGGCUUAACACAUGCAAGUCGAGGGGCAGCAUGACGGAACUUUCGGGUUCUGUUGAUGGCGACCGGCGCAAGGGUGCGUAACGCGUGAGCAACUUGCCCGUUUCUGGGGAAUAACCGGUGGAAACGCCGACUAAUACUCCAUGGUACAUUGGUGAGGCAUCUCAUUGAUGUUAAAGAUUUAUCGGAAACGGAUAGGCUCGCGUGACAUUAGCUAGAUGGCGGGGUAACGGCCCACCAUGGCGACGAUGUCUAGGGGUUCUGAGAGGAAGGUCCCCCACACUGGAACUGAGACACGGUCCAGACUCCUACGGGAGGCAGCAGUGAGGAAUAUUGGUCAAUGGUCGGAAGACUGAACCAGCCAUGCCGCGUGAAGGUGACGGCCCUAUGGGUCUUAAACUUCUUUUGUAAGGGAGCAAUAAGGUUCACGUGUGGACAGAUGAGAGUACCUUACGAAUAAGCAUCGGCUAACUCCGU